rnacentral:ncRNA from 2 species
CGCUCAUCCAGAGGGGCAGAGGGAUACGGCCCGAUGAAGCCCCGGCAACCCUCCAGCCGGUCUCGUAGCGAUCACUGACGAUCGUUUUAGCGAGGCUCCCCGGCUCGGGAAGGUGCCAAAUCCGUCUCACGGCGAGAUGCGUCGUGAGGAAGAUGAGGA